GGAGGUCACUCUGCGAUAAUUUUAAAGAUCGAAACAGAAAUCGUGUAUUUUAUGUACAUUUUAAAUGAAUUUGAACUCCAGCAGUGGCUAGCUGGAGCGGAUGUGAGUUGCGAGGAUGCAAAGAGGAUACAGUGGACGUUUAACGGAUGAUAACGGACAUGGAACGUUUGGUGCUCGUAUAUGUUGUGCAUUUACAUCGUACACGGCAGAAAGUUUGUCCGUUAUAAAAGUUUUGUGCAGCUCAAAAGUUUUUGUGCGGAUGAAAUCAAAGUGAACGGAUGCUCAAUGGAUAGAGCGUAUGAAACACCCCGUACCGAAAUGAAGUGUACACUUCCUCUGAAGUGUUCAUUUCCAACACACUUCUAUAGACACUCGAUUGAAACAAAUAAGUGAUUGUACUGAAAUAUGGCGUCUGUCUAAAAAUAGGUCAUUAGCGGGGUUCGCUCUUCACGGAGUCCAAGUACUAGAUACGCAGCUUAUUAUUGCGAUAUCUCCCCUUUCUGUAUCGAGGAAAUGUAAUCCUGUAUUCAUUAUUUACACAUAAUAAUUAAUCAUAUUGGUGGUUAUUCGCUGUUUCGCUUCGUCUAAAGUCCAGUGGUACGGAACUCGUAUUAUUUGACGGGGAUAUGGCCGGGUAUUUAAAUUAAAAAUAUUGGUCUUACAAUACAAAAUUCCAGAUGUCAUAUUACGUAUGGUACUAAAAUCUAUUACCAUGUUUACGCAGAGGUGGUGUGUUGUUGUCCACCAACAUGGCGGCGUCCUGUAUCUAGGUCAUGUAUCGGAUACCGGUACGCUCUAUAUAUAGGCAUAGACUAUAAUCAAAAUGGCCGACGAGAAUUGAAUGUUUUGAUAGUUGAAUUUGAUUAGGACCUAAUGUGGCUUUGAACACACGGCAUGCAAGCAUGCCUGCCUUAUUUGACAUUAUAUUAUUUCAAAUUAUACUGCCACCAUGGGCUGUAGGCGUUAUAUAGCGAUUAGCGACGAUUCCCGAAUGAUCGAGAUUUACGGUCGGCAUUUCUUUUAUCAGGCUACCGCUUCAAAAUGUACACAAGUGAAUGACGAGUCUUAUGUAAAGCUCUUCUUACAAAUAAACUUGCUAUUUCUAUCAAUGAUUCAGGUACCUAUAAUAACAGACCAUCAUGUGUAGGCUACACGGUAAAAGUAAAAGUAAAUUUGCUGGAAAUUUGGUAAUCCUUGUAAGACUUGAUGUGUUGUGUAGGCUGCACGGUGCCGGUACAUAUUUAAAAUAUUUCAUUCAAUACCCGGUACGGUAUUUUAAAAGACCAAAGCCACCAAUAAUACUCAAUAAGCAAUACAUGUAGUUUUACAUCUGACUGUCAUAAAAUUUUGUAAAUGUAUAUGAUAGCCUAAUAUUGCUGUGAUAUUUAAGCAAAACUUUAUUAAUAUAACCAAAUAAUAAACUGGAUCUUAGUAAAGCAUCUAAAGAAUGGGCUAAUGUAAAGCAAAUUAAGAUUUGGCAAAUAAAAAUUCCAUUUGGCCAUAAAAUAUAUAAACAAUUUUGCAUGUGAAAGUGAUAGCUAUAAAUUGCUAUAUCCUAUGUUUACAAUAUUAUGCUGCUGACAUUUUAUUGUUGUUGAAAUGAGUUAGUGCAUAUUGCUUUAAUCGCUGGACGCAGUAGCCGAAUGAUUCUGCCGAAUGAAUCCGCGCUUAAUGAUUCGCGAAUCAAACAUGUUUGAUAUAUUCGCCCGAAUUAUAUUUAAUCACCAAUCAUAUCAAGAAGUCACGUGAUUGUUUGAAGACAUGGUCACUGCCAUGUUUAAUCAUGCGAUGUCAAAGGUGAUGCAAUCGACUUGUGAAUCAGGUGAGAGUAUGCCCACUUAUUUGGCCGAAUGAUUCGGCUAGUGUAUCCACGACAGACCUUGUGAUUUCAUGUGCACACAUUAAGCACAAAACCAUUCAACCCCCACAUUGAAAAAAUGAAAUGAAAUUGGGUUUAACGUCCUACUGUUCUUCUCCUAUGCUGGGCUAAUGAAGACGGGCAUACGCCAUACAGUGUGCUAUGAGGGAAAUUUUGCCCGGGCAGCAGCACUAUUGCCUACUCUUAUAUCGAAUUCCAACUGCCAAGGGAUCUUUUACGUGCAUUCUAAUGUAUACACAGGACCUCAGUUUUUCGUCUCAUCCGAAGGACUAGACAGCUGUCCUUGUCAGGCCCUCCGUGCUGCAUCACUGGCAAGGGGGAACCACGCCGGAAAAUCUCAAUGAACUUUCUCGGCCAAUGCAGGGAUCGAACACCCGACCUCCAGGCUAGCGAGCCAGCGUCUUACUCACUUAGCCACGUGACCCCCUCCCACAUUGAAAAGAAAAGACACAAGCAAAGAACUACAUGUUAGCCCAGAAGUUACCUGGUUUGUGUUGAGUGGACAUUAAACCCCAUUUUUCUCACUAUCUCAUAUACAAACACAAAAUGUGCUGUGGGAAAUUUUACCUUGACAGCUGCCAUAUGACCUACUCUUAUAUCAAAUUAAAACUGCCAUGGAUUCUUUUACAUGCUGGUUUCGAUUCGCUGUAUUAUAAAGUCUGUCAUUGAGUCAACUGGCGUGGUUUCGAUUCCCUGGCUGUACAAGACAAGGAGUAGGGUCGCCUGUCCAACCUUGUGGGUUUUCUCUGGGUCCUCCGGUUUCCUCCAACUGCUAAAGACCCCUACGUGCAUGCGCAAAUUAUUGAAAUAAAAUUGAACCAUAUGUUAGUCUCAAAAAGACAUUAAGUAGGUCUGUAGUCUAUAUUAAAAUUGCGAGAAUCUGUCAUUUAAAAAAAAAACAGUCCUAGGCCUACGUAGGCCCUGAAAUGAAAUGAAAUGAAAUGGGGUUUAACGUCCUACUGUUCUGCUCCUGGUUUUGAUUCCCCAGUUACGUGACUUGGAGUAGUCGCCUGUCCAACCUUGACGGUUUUCUCCGGGUCCUUCGGUUUCCUCCCACUGCUAAAGACCCCUACGUGCAUGCGCAAAUUAUUGAAAUAAAAUUGAACCAUAUGUUAGUCUCAAAAAGACAUUAAGUAGGUCUAUAAUCUAUAUUAAAAUUGCGAGAAUCUGUCAUUUAAAAAAACAACAUUCCUAGGCCUACGUAGGCCCUGAAAUGAAAUGAAAUGGGGUUUAAUGUCCUACUGUUCUGCUCCUAACCUGGGCUAAUGAAGACGGGCAUACGCCAUACAGUGUGCUAUGAGGGAAAUUUUGCCCGGGCAGCGGCGCUACGGCCUACUCUUAUAUCGAAUUCCAACUGCCAAGGGAUCUUUUACGUGCACGCCAAUGUGUACACGGGACCUCGGUUUUUGUCCCACCCGAACAACUAGACAGUUGUCCUUGUCAGGCCCUCCGUCCUGCAUCACUGGCAAGGGGGAACCACACCGGAAAAUCUCAAUGAACUUUCUCGGCCAAUGCAGGGAUCGAACACCCGACCUCCCGACCUCCAGGCUAGCGAGCCAGCAUCUUACCCACUUAGCCAUGUGAUCCCCGCGUAGGCCCUACACAGUGUACACCUAUCAUAUUUUCGAUGGCAUCGAAAUUUCAGAAACUAUAAUUCAUGAAAAGUUAAAAUAUUGAACAACAAUGUUUUGAUACAAUAAUUAACAUUUGCUUUGGAAGAAAUGUAAAAAGAUUACAAAAAAUGUUGAUAUUGAGACAUUGCUAAAAUUUGCUUAUUAUUAUUACAGCAUAUUUAAUACAAAAAAACAAUGUUAACAGUUGUAUUAUAAGUUCCAUGGUAUAGAGUACCGGUACUAAAAUACAACAGGGUCAGAUAGAAUCCUGUUUAAUAUGUGUUUUUAAGUUGUUUUUUUUUAAAUAAAUAUAUAGAGAUGUAGGCCUACAACAUCUUAAACUAAAUUUUUAAUUGUAGGUCUAGUUGUAAUUAAAUUAGCCUAUUAGUAUUAUCAAAAUGGCGAUCAAGUACCGGUAUUUAAAAAUAUUGUUGACCUAUUUAUUUUAAUGGGUGUGUGGGUGUUACUGUGACCCAGAUGUGAGAUAAUUAAUACAUCACAAGUCUCAAGCGAAAUAUAGGCCUAUAGCCCAGUUCAUGAAAGUUGUUAAGAUAUUGGAAAACAAUGUUUUGAUACACAAUUCAACAUUUUUUUAGGAAAUAGAUUUAUAACCAAACACAAACAAAAGAAUUUCUGUUAAUGAUACCGGUAGUAAAAAAUGAUUUUUAACUUUCUAUUUUUUUUUUACUCGUAUUUUCUAAAGAUCGGUAGGAUUGGUCAAUAAUGACGUAAGUGAAAUGACGUUAUGGCCCAUGGGCGCCAUCUUUUUCUUUUCGCUAACAUGAUUGAUACUGAAAACAAUUUAAGAGGUUGUAAAUUAAUAAUCCACCAGUGCGGUAUGUGAAAAAUGUGUCUAGACAAGAUGAAAAAUUCCAAUUUUAAAGUAAAGAAUUCAAAGACGUGUAUGACAUGAUGCGAAACACUCAUUACCUUAUGCAUGUGUAGAUGGUGAGCUUGUGACCCGGAUGGAUGAAUGAUGGAAAGACACAUAAGUGCUGUAUACAGUAUUUGGUAUAAAUCAGUCAUUGAAAGUCAUUACAGCUGAAGAUUUUAAUGACGCUCUGUACUGGUACUAACAAUGUUGAUUACAGUCAAUGGAAGGUUAAUCAAACCAGAAUAACAGCACCUAUGAAUGUGGUCGAAUAAGGUGUGGAGGUGAUUAAUAGCAACAUUGAAUGUGGGUUGAAUAUGGUGUGUUAAAGAUGCAAGAAAACACACGAAAUGUGUAAACUGUAAUGGAUUAUAGCCUGGCGCUAUCCAAAUUACAAAACACCUGCCCUUGAGUCUAUAAUUAUUUAUUUUUUAUGGCACCCACAUUUUCAUGUCGCUGCCUCUGUUCGUCCAGAUGUACCUCCGGUGAAAUUUGUUUGUGGUCACAAUUAUCCGAUUUUAAUGAAAUUUAAAUGUAUAUUUAUAUUCAAAUCAUCUGGGAUCAGAUUCAUUUUGAACUCUAACCUCAUGGAUUAUGGCCCCUUAUAUUGUGGUAAAUUGGGUUUUUAGCAUGUGGGCCCAUCCAGAGGAUUUUGGCAUAGAAUAUUACACCUGAUUGUACGAUCCAUUGUUUUUAACUUCUGGAUCCUCUAGAAUUCGCAGUUUUAUAUGCCAACAUUUCCCAUGCCUGAAUUAACCCCUCUUUGCUGAAGAUUUGACUUUCGAGUUCAGAGUUAUGCCCCAUAGCCAAAAACUUUGAAUUUGAUAGGAGUUACAGUUUUUAACCGGUCCUUUUCAGAUUUGGUGUGAAGCAUUGGAUUCAUGAGAUCACAAACCCCAACGAUAUGCAGUGAUUAGAAGAUAACCUUUUCAAAAAAGCUUGUGAGUGUGAUGAGGCUACAAUUUAUUAAUUUGCCGUGUAGCUUUGGCACCAUGAGAGGACAAAUCCAAUAAAUUUCAGCAAUCCACACUUAACCCACUUUUUUGGAAACCAUGUGAACGUGAUAAAGCUACAAUUUUUUUAACAGAUUUUUUUCUAAUUCUAUAUGAAACAUUGGGACAAUGAGUGGAUUAGCCUUAUUUAUAUUCCUUAUUCUCUUUUGCAAUAUGUGGGUGUAUCUUAGAUGGCAACCACUUGUUAAUUGUAUCAAUUGUGUUGUAAUAUUUUGAAAACAAUAAUAAAUAUCAAAGUGUUA